AGAGUAUGAACUUUGUCCUUAUGUUUCAAGAUGACACCUGGAGAUCUGGACAUCAUGGUCAUGUUCUAGGAUGACAGCAGAAAGAAGGAAACUUCAAAGAAGAUUUCCUAGAGAGAGAAGACAUCACUGGCAAAGUAAUCAUAAACAGAGAGAGAAGCUGAAGAAAAUCUAAGUUGAGAGGAUGCUUGUUCAAGGAUGUAAAAAACGGACUGGUGGACUCUUUACUGAAUUUACUGCGGUGUGACAGUUGCUGCUCUGACUCAAAAGAAGAGGAAAGCCUCACGAACUGCUCCCCUUUAGCUGUGA